AUGGCCUGCGGUUAGCUUGCUGUUCCAACCUGCAGCCUGUCUUCCCUGCCCCAGCUUCCUAGGGGGAACGGGGGCAUGAAUGAUGAUGCAGGCUGAUAAUUACAGAACCUUCCCUCCUCCAUGCCACCAGAAAAUUUCAAUGAAAACAGAAGUAGAAAACUGUCAGGCCUCAUGAGGAUUUGUCCUCAAGAAAAGGAGGUAGACUCCAGGCUUUAGCCAAGUAGUGCUGUGGUGUCAACAAACAGAAUCGCUUGGGUUGUCAAAAUGGUAGGGGACUUUGGAGUGGCAGAAGAAACUCCAUGGUUACUGACUCUUCUUCUUAUUUCUUUUCAAAACUCGCUGAUUUGUCCUGAGAUGGAACAGUCUAUAUCUGAAGAAAGUGUGCUCCCUGUUGCUGAAGAAGUACAAGCAGGGGUUGAAAGGCCAUCUGACAGCUCUCUGAUAGUGCCUCCUGUUGGCUGAAACCUGAAGACAUGGCAGCCCCUAAAUGAAAUUCAUCCAUGUCAGCCUUUCUGGAAUUGGAUUUUGAGGAGCAAAUAAAAUCUAUCUGGCAUGAAUGUAUUUUUGUGUAUGCACAUGUGCACAUCAUACACACACACACACACACACACACACACACACUAACACUAUUCUUGCUACCCAACCUACAUCAAAAAGACACCAUACUGUGGAAUGCACA